rnacentral:rRNA from 2 species
AUGCAAGUCGAACGAACUCUGGUAUUGAUUGGUGCUUGCAUCAUGAUUUACAUUUGAGUGAGUGGCGAACUGGUGAGUAACACGUGGGAAACCUGCCCAGAAGCGGGGGAUAACACCUGGAAACAGAUGCUAAUACCGCAUAACAACUUGGACCGCAUGGUCCGAGCUUGAAAGAUGGCUUCGGCUAUCACUUUUGGAUGGUCCCGCGGCGUAUUAGCUAGAUGGUGGGGUAACGGCUCACCAUGGCAAUGAUACGUAGCCGACCUGAGAGGGUAAUCGGCCACAUUGGGACUGAGACACGGCCCAAACUCCUACGGGAGGCAGCAGUAGGGAAUCUUCCACAAUGGACGAAAGUCUGAUGGAGCAACGCCGCGUGAGUGAAGAAGGGUUUCGGCUCGUAAAACUCUGUUGUUAAAGAAGAACAUAUCUGAGAGUAACUGUUCAGGUAUUGACGGUAUUUAACCAGAAAGCCACGGCUAACUACGUGCCAGCAGCCGCGGUAAUACGUAGGUGGCAAGCGUUGUCCGGAUUUAUUGGGCGUAAAGCGAGCGCAGGCGGUUUUUUAAGUCUGAUGUGAAAGCCUUCGGCUCAACCGAAGAAGUGCAUCGGAAACUGGGAAACUUGAGUGCAGAAGAGGACAGUGGAACUCCAUGUGUAGCGGUGAAAUGCGUAGAUAUAUGGAAGAACACCAGUGGCGAAGGCGGCUGUCUGGUCUGUAACUGACGCUGAGGCUCGAAAGUAUGGGUAGCAAACAGGAUUAGAUACCCUGGUAGUCCAUACCGUAAACGAUGAAUGCUAAGUGUUGGAGGGUUUCCGCCCUUCAGUGCUGCAGCUAACGCAUUAAGCAUUCCGCCUGGGGAGUACGGCCGCAAGGCUGAAACUCAAAGGAAUUGACGGGGGCCCGCACAAGCGGUGGAGCAUGUGGUUUAAUUCGAAGCUACGCGAAGAACCUUACCAGGUCUUGACAUACUAUGCAAAUCUAAGAGAUUAGACGUUCCCUUCGGGGACAUGGAUACAGGUGGUGCAUGGUUGUCGUCAGCUCGUGUCGUGAGAUGUUGGGUUAAGUCCCGCAACGAGCGCAACCCUUAUUAUCAGUUGCCAGCAUUAAGUUGGGCACUCUGGUGAGACUGCCGGUGACAAACCGGAGGAAGGUGGGGAUGACGUCAAAUCAUCAUGCCCCUUAUGACCUGGGCUACACACGUGCUACAAUGGAUGGUACAACGAGUUGCGAACUCGCGAGAGUAAGCUAAUCUCUUAAAGCCAUUCUCAGUUCGGAUUGUAGGCUGCAACUCGCCUACAUGAAGUCGGAAUCGCUAGUAAUCGCGGAUCAGCAUGCCGCGGUGAAUACGUUCCCGGGCCUUGUACACACCGCCCGUCACACCAUGAGAGUUUGUAACACCCAAAGUCGGUGGGGUAACCUUUUAGGAACCAGCCGCU